CCAAUAGCGUAUAUUAAAGUUGUUGCGGUUAAAAAGCUCGUAGUUGAAUUUCGGAAUUGAUGCAUCGGUCGUGCCUUAAGGGGCAUGAACUGGUGUAGCCAAUUUCUCAUCUUCUGGUGAAUUGUGAUGUUCUUAAUUGGGUGUCUCAAUGAACUGGAAUUUUUUACUUUGAAAAAAUUAGUGUGUUUAAAGCAGGCAGU
rnacentral:rRNA from 1 species